UGCGUUUAUAGCUCAGUUGGUUAGAGCACCACCUUGACAUGGUGGGGGUCGUUGGUUCGAGUCCAAUUAAACGCACCAU
rnacentral:tRNA from 2 species